rnacentral:rRNA from 1 species
CAGUAGCCACGGGAACACGGAGGGAGCUAGCGUUGUUCGGAAUUACUGGGCGUAAAGCGCACGUAGGCGGCUUUGUAAGUUAGAGGUGAAAGCCUGGAGCUCAACUCCAGAAUUGCCUUUAAGACUGCAUCGCUUGAAUCCGGGAGAGGUGAGUGGAAUUCCGAGUGUAGAGGUGAAAUUCGUAGAUAUUCGGAAGAACACCAGUGGCGAAGGCGGCUCACUGGACCGGCAUUGACGCUGAGGUGCGAAAGCGUGGGGAGCAAACAGGAUUAGAUACCCCCGUAGUCCCUGUCUCUUAUAC